GCGGCUCCGCCGUGCUCCGGCGACGGCGCCGCCGCUGGCGGCGGCGAGUCGCCUCGGGUUGGCUGUUUUCGGCCAUUUUCGGCCGAAUUCGGCCACACUCGCAUCAGUCCCUGUGAGAAGACAAUCCUAGGGCCCUCGGGGGGCCAAAAAAUCACGGAAAAACGGAGCUUACCGGCGGCGGCGCUCUCGGGUGCGGCGGCUCUCCGGCGAAGUUCGUGUUUUGGUGAUUCGGCUCCGGUCAACCUGUAGAGAAAAGAAUGGUGAUCACGGUGAUAUAAAAAUUGCAUCAAACGGAGGUCGGGAAGGGCCUCGUCGGAGGCAAAAACCGAGAGGGGGCGCGGCGGCGCCGCUGGUCUUCGGCCGCGUAUUCUGGCCGUUUGGCCGGGAUUUCGGCUUUGAUUUGGACACAGGAGGAAUCAGCGUGGAAAAACGAGUCGGGGGUAUGAAAUUUACCUCGAUCGGCGGUCGGAAAUUUCCCCGGUGCGGCGGCGGGUGGCGGCGGUCGGCCUCUGGUUCGUCGUCUCCGGCGAGCGGCAGGCGGCUAGGGUUUGUGGUCUGGUGUGGGGGUUCUAUUUAUAACCCCUUGCCUUUUGAUCUCAGCCGUCCAUUUCGUUUUAAUCUGGGCCGUCCGAUCGCGCGAUUGAUCUGGGCCGUCGGAUUUCACCCACGC
rnacentral:lncRNA from 1 species